AUCAGAGGCUUCAUCUCUCACUAUCCUUUUUGAUUGACAUGAAAUGGUUUUUUCUUUUUUGUAAGUGGAAGGAUAGGGAAACUUCUGUGAAAAUUGCAAAGAUGUGCACAAUCCAAACCAAAUGAGCACCAUAUUUCUUCAUUUUCAGAGACAGCGGUGAAGAUGCAUAAAUAGAAGCACAGCCAGAUAAAGUAUUGCUGUGGUACACUGUCUCCAUGAAAAGGUCUCCUUAGUUUGGACUUACAAAGUGAAUGUUUGGGCCUGAGAUUUUGACUACUGUUCCUGUUUUUAAUGAGAACUUGUGGGGAGGCUAUGCUAGGAAUAGCCAACCGUAUAUCAUCUUUGAACUUGUCUGAUGUAUGUUUACUCCUACAGAUACCUGUUUAUAUUUAACUAACACUGGUUGAAUUUCAUAGGGUAAGUUUGGCCAAAACAUGUUGG
rnacentral:lncRNA from 1 species